CCAUACUAUGAAGCAUGUGUAUUUGACUCCUGUGCUUGUGACACGGGUGGAGACUGUGAGUGUUUCUGCACUGCUGUGGCCGCUUAUGCUGAAUCCUGUCAUCAAGCUGGCGCCUGUAUACGAUGGAGAACCCCAAAGAUUUGUCCUAUCUUCUGUGAUUACUACAAUUCCCCUGGUGAAUGUGAAUGGCACUACAUGCCAUGCGGAUCUCCAUGUAUGAAAACCUGCAGGAACCCCUCCGGCAGCUGCUCGCCACAGAUGCCUUCUCUAGAAGGUUGCUAUCCAAAAUGUCCUCCUGCUCAGCCAUACUUUGAUGAGGAUACAAUGACAUGUGUGUUAAAAGAACAUUGUGGCUGCUACGAUAAAGAGGGGAAACACUACAAUAAUAAUGACAAAGUGCCAACAACUGAAAACUGUCGAACAUGGUAGGUCUACAUUACAUCCCAGUCCCAGUCAAGGUUAU